rnacentral:lncRNA from 1 species
AAGUAGCUGUUAUUUGGGUGGAGUCCUGUGCUUUCUCCAUUAACCAUUAAAGGAAGCAUCUCUGAACUGCAAUGCGGUGAGAAGGACAGCUGUGAUUUGCCAUUUCUGGUGAAUAAACAAACAGACUGAGAAUGUGGAUGGUGCCUACCUGCUCUGUGUCUGUUGCUGUUGCUGUGAGAGUGUAGCGUGCUUUGAAGUUUCCACCUGAGUGAAGGACUGCACACAAACUCCACUGGAUGUAGAGGCUGGAUUAGGUAAGUGUGUGUGAUAGAGAACCACCCCACCUGUACCUAUGCUGGAGAGAAUUCACAUGCGCUGUUUGAGUAUGUGACAGACUUCAAGCCAUAGCGACAAUGUCUGUCAAGAAAUUUCUUUGAGUGGUUAAAACAUU